AGUUUGAUCCUGGCUCAAGAUGAACGCUUGCUACCGGCUUCACUCAUGCUAGUCAAGGGGCACCGGGGAUGAUAGCUUGCUCUCAUCUGCCGGCUACCGGCCCACGGGUGACUAACUCUUUUGCGACCUGCCCGCUUCUCGGGGAUAACCCGAACAGAUUCCGUCUUAUACCGCAUAACGAGUUCCGGGGACAUCCCCGGGAUUCCGAAUGAGCGAUCUCCGUAGCCGUGUAUGUGGCAUGCUCUCCCAUUACAGUACUCUGGCGGUGUCACGGACCCCCAAUCCUACCAUGCGAUAGGGGUUCUGAGAGGAAGGUCCCCCACUCUGGUACUGAUACACCGACCAGACUCCUACAGGACGCAGCACCGACGAAUAUUGGUCUAUGGGCGGGAGCCUGAACCUACCCAUUCUCGUGAAGGAAGACGGCCCUAUGGGUUGUUCACCUCUUUUGUCCGGGAUCAAGGGCUGCCUCCUGUGGCAGGGCGAGAGUACCUGAAGAAGAAGCAUCGGCUAACUCCGUGCCAGCAGCCGCGGUAAUACGGAGGAUGCGAGCGUUAUCCGGAUUUAUUGGGUGUAAAGGGUGCGUAGGCGGUCUGGUAAGUCAGCGGUGAAAUUGCGAGGCUCAACCUCAUCGAGCCGUGAACACUGCCGGUCUUCAGUGGGCGAGAAGUAUGCGUAAUGUGUGGUGCAGCGGUGAAACGCAUAGAUAUCACUCUACAACUCCGAUGUCGAAGGCAGCAUGCUGGCGCCCAAAUUACGCUGAAGCAUGAAAGAGUGGAUAUUGAACAGGAUUAGAUACGUUGGUAGUCCACGCAGUAACCGAUGAAUACUAAUUGUUCGAGUCGAGUGAGACGUGAGUGAUACAGCGAAAGCGUUAAGUAUUCCAUCCUGGGAGUACGCCGGCAACGGUGAAACUCAAAGGAAUUGAGGGGGGCCAGCACAAGCGGAGGAACAUGUGGUUUAAUUGGAUGAUACGCGAGGAACCUUACCUGGGUUCAAAAGCAGGAGGAAUGUUUUCGAAAGGAGGCAGCUCUUUGGAGUAUCCUGCGAGGUGCUGUCAUGGUAGUAGUCAGCUCGUGCUCUCGAGGCGUAGGGUUAAGUGUCACAAUCGAGAGCUAACCCCUACAGUCAGUUCGCCAUCAAGUCAAGCCGUGCACUCUGACGGGAUCGCCGGCGCAAGCUUUGAGGAAGGCGGGGAUGAUUGUCAAAUCAGCCAGGCCCUUACGUCCGGGGAGACACAAGUGUCACAAAGGCAGGUACAGCGUGAAGCCACUUGGGGACAAGGAGCGGAACCCGAAAACCCGUUUCAGCUCUGAGUGGAGUUUGCAACCCUACUACAAGAAGCAGUAUUAGGUAGUAAUCGAGCAUCAGCCACGGAGCGGUGAAUAAGUUCCCGGCCUGAGCAAUCACCGCCCGUCAAG
rnacentral:rRNA from 1 species